UCCUUGGAGGAUUAGUGGUUAGGCUACAUCACACUCACCGCUGGGGCACGGGUUCGAUUCCUGCCCAGGGAA